GAUGAACGCUGGCGGCGUGCCUAAUACAUGCAAGUCGAGCGAACAGACGAGGAGCUUGCUCCUCUGACGUUAGCGGCGGACGGGUGAGUAACACGUGGAUAACCUACCUAUAAGACUGGGAUAACUUCGGGAAACCGGAGCUAAUACCGGAUAAUAUAUUGAACCGCAUGGUUCAAUAGUGAAAGACGGUUUUGCUGUCACUUAUAGAUGGAUCCGCGCCGCAUUAGCUAGUUGGUAAGGUAACGGCUUACCAAGGCAACGAUGCGUAGCCGACCUGAGAGGGUGAUCGGCGACACUGGAACUGGGACACGGUCCAGACUCCUACGGGAGGCAGCAGUAGGGAAUCUUCCGCAAUGGGCGAAAGCUUGACGGAGCAACGCCGCGUGAGUGAUGAAGGUCUUCGGAUCGUAAAACUCUGUUAUUAGGGAAGAACAAAUGUGUAAGUAACUAUGCACGUCUUGACGGUACCUAAUCAGAAAGCCACGGCUAACUACGUG
rnacentral:rRNA from 1 species